rnacentral:misc_RNA from 1 species
UACGUAGGGUGCGAGCGUUAAUCGGAAUUACUGGGCGUAAAGUGUGCGUAGGCGGCGUCGCAAGUCGAGUGUGAAAGCCCCGAGCUUAACUUGGGAACUGCGCUCGAAACUACGGUGCUCGAGUGUGGCAGAGGGAGGUGGAAUUCCACGUGUAGCGGUGAAAUGCGUAGAGAUGUGGAGGAACACCAAUGGCGAAGGCAGCCUCCUGGGCCAACACUGACGCUCAUGCACGAAAGCGUGGGGAGCAAACAGG